rnacentral:rRNA from 1 species
UCUUGUCACUGUGUGCCCGCAGCCGCGGUAAUCCGUCGGGGGCCCGCGUUAUCCGGAUUUACUGGGUGUAAAGGGAGCGUAGACGGCAAGGCAAGUCUGAUGUGAAAACCCAGGGCUUAACCCUGGGACUGCAUUGGAAACUGUCUGGCUCGAGUGCCGGAGAGGUAAGCGGAAUUCCUAGUGUAGCGGUGAAAUGCGUAGAUAUUAGGAAGAACACCAGUGGCGAAGGCGGCUUACUGGACGGUAACUGACGUUGAGGCUCGAAAGCGUGGGGAGCAAACAGG